rnacentral:lncRNA from 1 species
AAUUGGCUAGGUAAGCAGGUGGGAGGCUUCCCUUACUCAGAGAGUAAGGUCCUAAUUAAGUAACCACCUUUCAGGCUUUCCUAGACACCAAUUAGAUCAAUUAAUCUAAUAUGACUCGCUCAUGUUGGUUCACUCUCGACUUGAUUGAGGAGGUUUUAGUUUAGGUCUCAUUGGGAUUGCUAUAUAAGAUUGCAUCAUAUGUAAAUCUAUCUACCCCGCUCACAUUUGCAUCAUAUGCAAACAGCACAUCACAGGCAGUUAUAAUUGUAGCAAUAAAUUAAAGCUGAAUUUUAAAUAGGUGAUGAUCAUGAAUUCUAAUUAGGUCAUAUUACAAGCACAUGCACGUCAAUCGAUCAACUGGUCUUCAACUCUUGAAUUGGUCCCGAGCCUCCUUGAUUUGAUCCCUGAUCAACUCUUGAUCCAAUCGCCAUCAACCGCUCAGAUCGCCGUUCAUCUCAUGUACUAUCUUCGAAUGAUCGUUGACAUACAUUUCAUCACAGAAAUACAACCAUAUAUAAAAAUAAAUUGCAUCCUUUUUAGGAGGCACGCAGGCCCCUCAAAC